GAUUGCAAGUGUGGGUUUUAUACCUGCUAGGGUGCUCAUAUCUACUAGGGUACGUCAUAGACGCCAUUUUGUCUGUCGCGGUUUGACGUAUCGACUCCUCAUUCGUUAACCUCUGCUCGCGGAGUUCAAGGGCAUAGCUGUUGAAUAUAUGCCUAAAUGUAAAAUGCCUAAUAUAAAAAGGACCUGAUCGCGUUAAUGCUGACGGUCAACUAUAUUGGUAAACCGUAGUAAUAAUACCCGAAGCACCGUUGUGGUCAAGUAAGGUCCACGUUUGUGUAGCGGCAAAUAACAGUCACACUGUGAUUGAAGUUUUUUUUUUAUCGUUUUGUUUGCCAUGGAUUGGUUAGUUAGUUUAGCUAACGGAAGCUACCCAAGCUUACGCUAGCCACCUCCACCCACACACACACACACACACAUUUGACGAUCGUAUCCAAGCUGUUAUUGAAUAAACUUCAACUUCAACGACUACUUAACACGUACGACCUCCUGUAAAGGUUUACCUACAGAGAGGCACACCUAGGAACCAAAGCAACCAAAGCAACAUCCAUGGACCCACACCUGGCAUACUAAGCACCUGAAGAGCCAACACAAAGCCGAUCAGGACAUGCCCCCCACUUUACUCCGCUCUUCCCCCUCACUAUGGCUCCCUUAAAAAGGGAUCCUUGGAACUGGGGUACUCUUCUUUUUGCUGGACCACUGGUCAGGAACUACCAUGCUUACUGUUUCAGCAAUAGUGAGGUUAUGGCUGCAAUAUCAGUGGUACACUGCUCUACGGUGUCCUCGACAUCGCCCACACGGAGGAGUGUAAAUGGCAGAGACUAUGCUGCUGAGGUAAAUGUCCCUGUGAUCCUGAUUUUCAUUACAAUAUUAUGUCUGGUCCACUGUUUUAAUAUUGUCGCUCGGCCAACCUGUGCUUUUAUGGAUCCUGGGGUUAGGGCUGGCCCUGAUAGUGUUGUUGCCCUAGCCUAGACUUUACAUUUGCCCCCCCCCCCCCCCCCAAACUAUGACACACUAUGCUCUACCUCCAAAUGAUGAUACUGAUCUCACUUCUAUUGAAUACUAAGAUACUAAUUUAUAUUAAUUGAUGUUUGCAUGCUCGUCCAUGAAACAUGACCUGUUGUAUUUCAUUUGAUAGCUAUAUCAAUGUUCAGAAAGGGUAUGGGGUGGUAGUAGAGUAGUUCAGUAAGAGGAUGACGGUAGUGCCAAGUAUCCCUUCCUUUUCACAUUUGAAUUUCAGGAGGACAUAAAAAUGUUUUUAGACGAUUGUGUGUUUGCACAAGGCCUCACAGCUGCGAGCAGAUUUUUGAAAUCAACCCAUG
ensembl:lncRNA